UACGGGGGAGGCAAGCGUUGUUCGGAUUUACUGGGCGUAAAGGGCGCGUAGGCGGCCUCUGCAAGUCGACUGUGAAAUCUCCGGGCUUAACCCGGAAAGGUCAGCCGAUACUGCAGGGCUAGAGUGCAGAAGGGGCAACUGGAAUUCUCGGUGUAGCGGUGGAAAUGCGUAGAUAUCGAGAGGAACACCUGCGGCGAAGGCGGGUUGCUGGGCUGACACCGACGCUGAGGAGCGAAAGCAUGGGGAGCGAACA
rnacentral:rRNA from 1 species